AAUCAACGCUGGCGGCGUGCCUAACACAUGCAAGUCGAGCGAGAAAAGGGGAGCAAUCCUCUGAGUAAAGCGGCGCACGGGUGAGUAACACGUGGGUAAUCUGCCCUGGAGUGGGGAAUAACACCGGGAAACCGGUGCUAAUACCGCAUACGAUCACGAUGUCUGCGGAUGUUGUGAUGAAAGGAGCAAUUCGCUCCAGGAGGAGCCCGCGGCUGAUUAGCUAGUUGGUGAGGUAACGGCUCACCAAGGCUACGAUCAGUAUCCGGUCUGAGAGGACGGUCGGACACACUGGAACUGAGACACGGUCCAGACUCCUACGGGAGGCAGCAGUGGGGAAUUUUUCGCAAUGGGGGCAACCCUGACGAAGCAACGCCGCGUGGAUGAUGAAGUAUCUCGGUACGUAAAAUCCUUUCGACAGGGACGAAACCCGCAAGGGCUGACGGUACCUGUAGAAGAAGCCCCGGCUAACUCCGUGCCAGCCGCCGCUGU
rnacentral:rRNA from 1 species